rnacentral:tRNA from 1 species
GCCGGGAUGGCGGAACUGGUAGACGCAGCGGACUCAAAAUCCGCCGGUAGCGAUACCGUGAGGGUUCGAGUCCCUCUCCCGGCACCA